rnacentral:rRNA from 1 species
GACAGAGGGUGCAAACGUUGCUCGGAAUCACUGGGCGUAAAGGGUGCGUAGGCGGCGCAGUAAGUUGGGUGUGAAAUCCCUCGGCUUAACCGAGGAAUUGCGCCCAAAACUACUGUGCUCGAGGGAGGUAGAGGUGAGCGGAACUUAGGGUGGAGCGGUGAAAUGCGUUGAUAUCCUAAGGAACACCGGUGGCGAAAGCGGCUCACUGGACCUCUUCUGACGCUGAGGCACGAAAGCUAGGGUAGCAAACGGG